GAUGAACGCUGGCGGCGUGCCUAAUACAUGCAAGUCGAGCGAACGGACGAGAAGCUUGCUUCUCUGAUGUUAGCGGCGGACGGGUGAGUAACACGUGGAUAACCUACCUAUAAGACUGGGAUAACUUCGGGAAACCGGAGCUAAUACCGGAUGAUAUUUUGAACCGCAUGGUUCAAAAGUGAAAGACGGUCUUGCUGUCACUUAUAGAUGGAUCCGCGCUGCAUUAGCUAGUUGGUAAGGUAAUGGCUUACCAAGGCAACGAUGCAUAGCCGACCUGAGAGGGUGAUCGGCCACACUGGAACUGAGACACGGUCCAGACUCCUACGGGAGGCAGCAGUAGGGAAUCUUCCGCAAUGGGCGAAAGCCUGACGGAGCAACGCCGCGUGAGUGAUGAAGGUCUUCGGAUCGUAAAACGCUGUUAUUAGGGAAGAACAUAUGUGUAAGUAACUGUGCACAUCUUGACGGUACCUAAGCAGAAAGCCACGGCUAACUACGU
rnacentral:rRNA from 1 species